rnacentral:rRNA from 1 species
UACGAAGGGGGCUAGCGUUGCUCGGAAUGACUGGGCGUAAAGGGCGCGUAGGCGGAUGGCACAGUCAGAUGUGAAAUUCCCGGGCUUAACCUGGGGGCUGCAUUUGAUACGUGUGAUCUAGAGUGAGGAAGAGGGUCGUGGAAUUCCCAGUGUAGAGGUGAAAUUCGUAGAUAUCGGGAGGAACACCAGUGGCGAAGGCGGCGACCUGGGCCAAUAUUGACGCUGAGGUGCGAAAGCGUGGGGAGCAAACAGG